CAUGGCGCCACUGCUGGCUCAAAUGCCUAAUCUCGUCUGAUCUCUGAAGCUAAGCAGCGUCGGGCCUGGUUAGUACUUGGAUGGGAAACCAGCUAGGAAUACUAAGUGAUGCAACCU
rnacentral:rRNA from 1 species